rnacentral:snRNA from 1 species
AAGAGAAAGACUUAGGGCAUCUC